rnacentral:rRNA from 1 species
GACGAACGCUGGCGGCGUGCUUAACACAUGCAAGUCGAACGGAAAGGCCUGCUUUCCCUUGUGGAUUGCGGGUACUCGAGUGGCGAACGGGUGAGUAACACGUGAGUGAUCUGCCCCCAACUUGGGUAUAAGCCUGGGAAACUGGGUCUAAUUCCCGAUAGGACUGCAGGGUGGUGCCUGUGGUGGAACACGAUUUUCUAGUGGUUGGGGAUGAGCUCGCGGCCUAUCAGCUUGUUGGUGGGGUAAUGGCCUACCAAGGCGGCGACGGGUAGCCGGCCGGAGAGGGUGGACGGGCACAUUGGGACUGAGAGACGGCCCAGACUCCUACGGGAGGCAGCAGUGGGGAAUAUUGCACAAUGGGCGGAAGCCUGAUGCAGCGACGCCGCGUGGGGGAUGACGGCCUUCGGGUUGUAAACUCCUUUCGACCGCGAGGAAGCCACCUGGUUGGAAGGGUGGUGACGGUAGUGGUAGAAGAAGCACCGGCUAACUACGUG